rnacentral:lncRNA from 1 species
UGUAGGUGUCAAUGUAUGAUAGCCUACAAAUAGCCUCUCCAUCAAAACUGACUCCAUCCUCUCUAAAGAUAACUGUGAGGGCCAUAACAUAGGGCAAAGGAGCCUUGGACCUGCUCAAGGCAUACCUCAUAACAUCAAACAUCAAAAAUGGAAGGUUCAGGGGUGACUCUGAAACAACAUGAUGCAUAAGACAUAUGUCUCUCUCCGUCAUC